AAAUUGUACGUGUAGUCUGCGGUGCCGCGAAUACGUCUCAGAACGUGUGAAAUCCUGUUUUUAUAACCGAAUAGAUUUCCUAGUCCCAUCCUAGUGUCGACGAACCGCGGCGGUGAGAUACAUUUAUACUCAGGUCAGAAGUGAACUUUCCUUUGCUGACUGUUGGAUGCUGAUAACUGACCCCCUGUCCAUUCUGCUACCCGAACACACUCUCCAGUUACCAAUGCAUUCUUUGAAAUCACCUUCAAAGUUCAGUUUUGGAUUUGUCCCAUACACAUCAUGUGGACUAAGCGUUACCGGACAGGAUUUAAGCAUAAUAAUUCUAUAAAAAAGCAUCAAGAUCCACACUUGCCAAUAGAAAACGAAGUGAAUAAAUCUUUUGAGACCUGGU